GCAGGUUGUGGGUAGCUAGAGAGGUAGUCUGAAUAAAGGCAGGUUGUGGAGAGGUAGUCUGAAUAAAGGCAGGUUGUGGGUAGCUAGAGAGGCAGUCUGAAUAAAGGCAGGUUGUGGGUAGCUAGAGAGGUAGUCUGAAUAAAGGCAGGUUGUGGAGAGGUA